rnacentral:rRNA from 1 species
AGAGCGAACGCUGGCGGCAGGCCUAACACAUGCAAGUCGAGCGCCCGUAGCAAUACGGGAGCGGCAGACGGGAUAGUAACACGUGGGAACGCGCCCUUCGGUUCGGAAUAACUCAGGGAAACUUGAGCUAAUACCGGAUACGCCCUUACGGGGAAAGAUUUAUUGCCGAAGGAACGGCCCGCGUCCGAUUAGCUAGUUGGUGAGGUAAUGGCUCACCAAGGCGACGAUCGGUAGCUGGUCUGAGAGGAUGACCAGCAUCACUGGGACUGAGACACGGCCCAGACUCCUACGGGAGGCAGCAGUGGGGAAUAUUGGACAAUGGGCGCAAGCCUGAUCCAGCCAUGCCGCGUGGAUGAUGAAGGCCUUAGGGUUGUAAAGUCCUUUUAACGGGGAAGAUAAGUGACGGUACCCGUAGAAUAAGCCCGGCUAACGUUCGUGCCAGCAGGCCGC